GUGGGGAAUCUUGCGCAAUGGGCGAAAGCCUGACGCAGCCAUGCCGCGUGAAUGAUGAAGGUCUUAGGAUUGUAAAAUUCUUUCACCGGGGACGAUAAUGACGGUACCCGGAGAAGAAGCUCCGGCUAACUUCGUGCCAGCAGCCGCGGUAAUAUGAAGGGGGCUAGCGUUGCUCGGAAUUACUGGGCGUAAAGGGCGCGUAGGCGGACAGCUUAGUCAGAGGUGAAAGCCCAGGGCUCAACCUUGGAAUUGCCUUUGAUACUGGCUGUCUUGAGUUUGGGAGAGGUGAGUGGAACUCCGAGUGUAGAGGUGAAAUUCGUAGAUAUCCGGAGGAACACCAGUGGCGAAGGCGGCUUCCUGGACAGUAACUGACGCUGAGACGCGAAAGCGUGGGGAGCAAACAGGAUUAGAUACCCUUGUAGUCC
rnacentral:rRNA from 1 species